rnacentral:rRNA from 1 species
ACGGUUAAGCAUCUUCGGAUGUGUAUAAAGUGGCGAACGGCUGAGUAACACGUGGGCAACCUGCCCUUUGCACUGGGAUAGCCUCGGGAAACCGAGGUUAAUACCGGAUACUCCAUAUUUGUCGCAUGGCGAAUAUGGGAAAGCUCCGGCGGCAAAGGAUGGGCCCGCGGCCUGUUAGCUAGUUGGUGGGGUAGUGGCCUACCAAGGCAAUGAUGGGUAGCCGGGUUGAGAGACCGACCGGCCAGAUUGGGACUGAGACACGGCCCAGACUCCUACGGGAGGCAGCAGUGGGGAAUCUUGCACAAUGGGCGAAAGCCUGAUGCAGCGACGCCGCGUGCGGGAUGAAGGCCUUCGGGUUGUAAACCGCUUUCAGCAGGGACGAGGCCGCAAGGUGACGGUACCUGCAGAAGAAGCCCCGGCUAACUACGUGCCAGCAGCCGCGGUAAUACGUAGGGGGCAAGCGUUAUCCGGAUUCAUUGGGCGUAAAGCGCGCGUAGGCGGUCUGUUAGGUCAGGAGUUAAAUCUGGGGGCUCAACCCCUAUCCGCUCCUGAUACCGGCAGGCUUGAGUCUGGUAGGGGAAGAUGGAAUUCCAAGUGUAGCGGUGAAAUGCGCAGAUAUUUGGAAGAACACCGGUGGCGAAGGCGGUCUUCUGGGCCAUGACUGACGCUGAGGCGCGAAAGCUAGGGGAGCGAACAGGAUUAGAUACCCUGGUAGUCCUAGCUGUAAACGAUGGACAC